CGCUGGAAUCUUUCAAGAAUCGCCCCUCUUUCCUUCCCUGUCCUGCCCCGCUGCACGCCCUCUUUUGUUCUUUUAGAGGCGUGGUUCCCUCUCCGAUGACAAGCAGAAAUGCUUUACUGAAGCGAACCCAAUGCUCCGCUCUUUCUGCUUUCUGUUCGUUCUUCUACUGGCUGAGAUACCUAGUCCUAGUCUUUCUCCCCUGAGUGUUUGACAGAGUCUCCAUCCAGCGACGGUGCUGCCGACCUCAAUCGCAGGCCGCUUCCUCCUUCUAGCACUUCACAGAAGCGCACCCGAAAGCUUACUAUCAAGCUUUCGUCGAUUCCUUCCCCGAUUUACCAUUUACACGCGGUCGACAGCUUCUCCUUACUAAGAAUCGCGGUUCUCGACCUCUCCCAUAACCACUUCUCGGACGAUCUUUCGGCCGCAGCCGACUCCUUCAGACUCCAAGAAUCGCACCUGCACCUCAGGUUGGUUGGCUGCAAUUCUGCAAGAUCUUUGCCCUGCUAUUCUUGAGGCUGAUCUGCUGCACCAGCUGUCCCUCCCCAUACCCAUGUUCAAAAUCUUAAUCAGUUGAGAGGCCGGUAUGUGCGUCCUUAGUGGAAAAGAUUUUCGUGCGUCACCAACUCUUUUGCUCGAUUAAUCUCUUCUUGGGUAGUUCCACCAUAGGAUCCAGAUUGCGUCUUGGCGAUUGCGAUGCCAUUGUCUUCUUCCCGAUCUUGAGUGAAACUUCUUGAUUAAUUUGGGCACUUGAUCAUAGCCCCAACUGAGGGUGACCCUAAUAAUGGAUACCAACAGUGAUAAUUUUUACAACAUUCCCGAUCAUCUUCUCAUUGAAAUUUUUGUUCGGGUACCUAUUCCUGAUUGGGUUCAAAUAUCAUGUGUGUGUAAGCAGUGGGCUUCCAUAUUCCGGGCGGAGUGUCUAUGGCAAUUUGCAAUUGCACGCUCAUGGCCUUCAGCCGUCCUUAGAAAACGUUGGCCUGGCCCUAUUCCUGGAGGUUUAGCUAAGAGAAGAUACAUGGCAUUAUAUGCUAGCGAGCAUGUUAUCACAUUAGAUGGUGAAGUUGAUGAGCUUGUAGGCCAUGCUUAUUUGUUUCUCAAAGAACAACUUGAGCUUUCUAACAUGCCACCUCCUUCUAGCAUACUUCAUGGAACCCUUAUUGAUCAGUUUAUUGCAUGCGGGAGGUCAAGAGAUAAUGCCUACGAGCUUGCUUCACAAAUAUGGUUAACUGUUCUCAACAAUUUGGAAGAGAAUGAGCAUACCUUUGCACUGUUAAAACGUCUUGCACUGGAAGGAAACGUAAGCAUUUUUUCCUUCAAAAAAGAGCUCCUUUAUGUGCUUAGGAAAGUUGGGUUUUAUGCGACUCACGCCCUCCUUUGAGUUGUUUAAUAAGGAGAUGCAGAGUCUGUCUUUCUCAUAAAUGAGAAGAGAAGCAAGACAUUUAUCUAUAAUUUAACACUGGACCCUCAACUUUAGUUGGCAACGACAAUAACAAUGGAUCACAUGACUGUUCUUCCUUCCAUAUCCUUACUCGAGAUCUGACAAAGUCUUAUGGAGGGUUUUUGAAAAGCUCUUCACUGAUUUCCGCGAUUGCUUCACUCGUGUGGAUUAUUAUGAUGCACUUUCCUAUGCCAAAACAAGGUUCCAGCCGA